UACGUAGGGUGCAAGCGUUAAUCGGAAUUACUGGGCGUAAAGCGUGCGCAGGCGGUGAUGUAAGACAGUUGUGAAAUCCCCGGGCUCAACCUGGGAACUGCAUCUGUGACUGCAUCGCUGGAGUGCGGCAGAGGGGGAUGGAAUUCCGCGUGUAGCAGUGAAAUGCGUAGAUAUGCGGAGGAACACCGAUGGCGAAGGCAAUCCCCUGGGCCUGCACUGACGCUCAUGCACGAAAGCGUGGGGAGCGAACAGG
rnacentral:rRNA from 1 species